rnacentral:lncRNA from 1 species
UUGUGAAGGAUUUGCUUUGAUGAACUUAAUUCUUUUGCUCAAUUGUUAUUUCUUUUAUGAUUUCCUUGUACAUAUAUAUGUCAUGCUUUUCAUUAUAGUAAACCACAAGGUAGUAGCAUUGUUUACAUAAACCAUGUAUAUUGAACAAAAACAAGACUACAUAUAUUUGUGAAUUCAAAUGAUUUAUGAACUCUGAUAUACUUUACUGUUAUUUGUUACAACAUACCACUUCUUCCACUUGGCUUGCUAUGUCUGCCAUAUAAGAUAAGACAAAUAGGCUACAAAGGGAUUUGGAUUAGACGCAGUGAUUGCGUCACACAAUUAACAAUUUUGGCUGUCUGAUAUGAAAUCAAUGAUAAAGAUGAUUUAGUGAAUAUGUAAUGUGAUUCGGCCAAUCUCAAAUCAACGACCGAGAUUGACAAAUAUGUGUAGCUGCAAGCUUUUUCUACUGCAGUGGAUCAUCUAUAUCCUGUGCCUAAGAUUGCAAAAGGACUAGUAGGAUGAAUUGAAUUGACAUGCCUAGGAAAACUACUCAAGGCAAGAGUUAUUUGUUCACAAAAAUAAGACUUUAUAAAAGAAUCCAAAUACAAAUAAUGGAUAGGAUAAAACAUAAAAAAUUCAAUGACUUAUGGAUUAAAAACAUAGUUAGGCCAAAAGCUAAAACUAUCACAUUUGAUGGAUUAAAACCAUAUUUAGGCCUAAAAAUUUUAGGUGUGAGAGCCUAGAAGUCAACCUCAGUAGGUAAGGAAUUUUCUCUCUUGAAUCAUUAGUAAUUAUAAUUAUUUCAUUACUUAUGUUGCAUUCAUUGUUUACAUUCAUCAAUUUCUGUCAAAUUGAAGGGAAUGAUGAGAAGAAGACUACUUUUCCUUAAAAUAUUAGAUUAAUAUCACACAUAAAGGAGAAAGGAAAUAACUCUUGAUAUCAAAGGCAAGAAAACUCAUUCCAUUGUCUCCCACAAAAUUAAUUAAACACCUAGCUAUAAUGGCUAAUAAGAAAGAUUAAGAUACCCUCCACUUUGAUUUAAAUGUAUAUAUAUUUUUUUGUCCUAUAAUUAAAUAACUUCAAAAACAAGGCAAAACCAAUAUCAACAAGUAUAACACAUCCUCUAACUUUGGUCCAGUGGUGAUUGACACUAGACUUGGUAGGGAGGACCACAGUUCGAUUCCGCACAAGUGCACAACUGCGAUCGUUAGAAGGCUGAAACCACUUGAAUGUAGAACUGACCCCAAAUCAAAUUAAGCGGUCUAGUGGGCUGGAUACUAGUGGUGAAAAAAAAAAAAAGUAUAACACAUCCUCUUCAAUAAAAAAUCAGUAUAACACAUGAAAAUAAAACAAAAACAAAAACAAGGUAGAAUGAGUGUGUGAAUUGUGUGAAUGAGUGUGAUGAACAAUUCACCUUUAACGGUAUUGGAGAGAGUCAUGAAUCCAUUGUUUCCAAUAGAGGUAGUUAGCUAGAACUUGGAAGAGAAAACAGAAGGAACAUGUGUGAAGUUAUAACAAGCAAUUGCAUUAUGCUUUAUCAUGUGAGAUA